CUGCGUUGGCUUCGUAGCUUCCCUCCACGGCCACGGCUCAGUGAGGAAGCGGGAGGAGGAGAAAUCCGGCGGUCACUGUGGUAAGCGCCUCAACUGUGCUCGGUGCAGUCCUUUUAGUUUCUCUUCUUCCAGAGAGCAAUCAAGUCUCAACCUGCAGCAUCACAACUGUGAACUGUCAAAAAAGAUAGAUAAUUUAUGUAUAUCAUCACCCGUAUCAUCUGCAAACAAAAGUCUAGUCUGAAAGCUAGCACAGGUGCCGCAAGAAGCUCGGAUCUUCUAUUAGCGUACAAGUCUGAAACUAGCCGAAUGCGAGGCGGAAGUCCUUCACUAAUUUAGUACUAAUCAUUACUCAUUUAUAGAAGAUGACCCCACUGUCAUAAACAUGACCCCAUUAAACUUUUUUCCUAGCUUCGUCCCUGACUAUCACACAGUAAGUUAGCAUAGUACAGAACAGACUAUUAAGGCAUGGCCAGCACAUGACACUCAACACAACAGUUCCUACUAAAGAAAAGAAAAUUGAUUAAAAAGCGCACUUUACAUUCAUCCCGCUAGAUGACCACCACAAGUUGUUCGAGUUUUACCUUGCAGUUGUUUGCUGUUUCUUCUUUGCUAUUGACCGACAUUGUUUCUGUUGCUAACAACAAACUUGUUCAUCGAUUCUGUAUAAAUGCUUGGUUAAUCUGUUGAAGAUAUGUACAUCUAAUUCCAGUACAUGAUGGCGUAGCGCGGUAGCCACUUAAUUUAUGAAGAGGUCACCAUAUCUGUUAAGUAUUUCUUUACGGAGGGAGAACUUGCUACAUAAGAUCGAACUAAUAGCCUUUAUUUUAACUGUUCCCAGCUAAUAGUCGAAUACAGGAAGGCUCUUGUCCAGCGGAGCCCUUACCUUAUCUUUUAUGUUCUUCUCAUACUACUUAACUUCUUGAUACCAGGAACCACAUUAUCUUGGUAUAUUUCCAUAAGCAACGUUAUUGAGAACUGUCAUGUGUUUGGCUCAUGCAGAACAUGUGCAGUUGUGGAAAGCUCAAGCGAUGUAUGCAGAUGGUACAAAGAAUCAAGCCUGGAAGAUAAUUUGGAGCUUGCCUUGCCCAAGUAAAGUAAACCGUUUUAUUUGAAGGCUCGCACGGGACAGUCCAUCGACCCGGCCAAAUGCUUGAAUGAUGAUCUCUUAUGCUCUGUAUGCCGAAGGCAAAACCAAGAUGGUGGAGCACCUCACCUGUUUUUGAAAUGUAAGCAUGUCGAAUUGUGGUGCUCCUUGAAGAGGAAGAAAGGCAAAAUCUCAGACGAAGUGCAUCUCAGAUAAAGAGGCUGUAAGUUAUAUUUUGAAAAAGAGGCAGGUGCGGCUAUGAAUGAAGCUGGCCGCUUUCAUGUGGCCGGCUUUGGUGGUCUGACCUGCGAUGA
rnacentral:lncRNA from 1 species